rnacentral:lncRNA from 1 species
UUUGAUAUAUUAAACUCAGUCGCAGGGCUUCCCGUUUUCCCUCUCUUCUCAGCCUAGCCCUCUAACAUAUCCCAACUAGCCCACCUAAGCUUAUCCGGUUAUCGAGGCCGUCGAUCAUGGUUAGAGGGUCCGAAAACGGACAAAACCCCCCUAACCCUAGCCCCUUCUUAUAUAUAGAAGACCUACACUUCCAUUUUGGUCUCCACCUCUCCCCUCCUCAAAAUCAGGGCCUCCUCAGUCG